rnacentral:rRNA from 1 species
AUACGUAGGGGGCGAGCGUUGUCCGGAAUGAUUGGGCGUAAAGGGCGCGUAGGCGGCCCGGUAAGUCUGGAGUGAAAGUCCUGCUUUUAAGGUGGGAAUUGCUUUGGAUACUGUCGGGCUUGAGUGCAGGAGAGGUAAGUGGAAUUCCCAGUGUAGCGGUGAAAUGCGUAGAGAUUGGGAGGAACACCAGUGGCGAAGGCGACUUACUGGACUGUAACUGACGCUGAGGCGCGAAAGUGUGGGGAGCAAACAGGAUUAGAUACCCUGGUAGUCCACACUGUAAACGAUGAAUGCUAGGUGUAGGGGGUAUCGACCCCUUCUGUGCCGCAGUUAACACAAUAAGCAUUCCGCCUGGGGAGUACGGUCGCAAGGUUGAAACUCAAAUGAAUUGACGGGG